rnacentral:rRNA from 1 species
UACGAAGGGUGCAAGCGUUACUCGGAAUUACUGGGCGUAAAGCGUGCGUAGGUGGUUUGUUAAGUCUGAUGUGAAAGCCCUGGGCUCAACCUGGGAACGGCAUUGGAAACUGGCUUACUAGAGUGCGGUAGAGGGGUGUGGAAUUCCCGGUGUAGCAGUGAAAUGCGUAGAUAUCGGGAGGAACAUCUGUGGCGAAGGCGGGUCUCUGGGCAACAACUGACGCUGAGGCGCGAAAGCUAGGGGAGCAAACGGG